CCGCUCCAACUUUAAGGAAACACUAUGCACGUUUUUGAGUUUCGUAAUAAAAGUACUGAUAAGCGAGUUAUCAUUA
rnacentral:tRNA from 1 species